CCUACGGGUGGCUGCAGUGGGGAAUAUUGCACAAUGGGGGGAACCCUGAUGCAGCGACGCCGCGUGAGUGAAGAAGUAUUUCGGUAUGUAAAGCUCUAUCAGCAGGGAAGAAGAUGACGGUACCUGACUAAGAAGCCCCGGCUAACUACGUGCCAGCAGCCGCGGUAAUACGUAGGGGGCAAGCGUUAUCCGGAUUUACUGGGUGUAAAGGGAGCGUAGACGGCAGGGCAAGUCUGGAGUGAAAGCCCGGGGCCCAACCCCGGCGAGCCGUUGAAACUGGCUGUCUUGAGAUGUCGAGAGGUAUGCGGAAUGCGCAGUGUAGCGGUGAAAUGCUUAGAUAUUGCGCAGAACUCCGAUUGCGAAGGCAGCAUACCGGCGGCGAUCUGACGCUGAGGCACGAAAGCGUGGGUAUCGAACAGGAUUAGAUACCCUAGUAGUC
rnacentral:rRNA from 1 species